rnacentral:lncRNA from 1 species
ACUUUAAAUCGUACAGGGAACGGGCUCCCCAAGAAAGGGAACGUCUGAAAAGAUUUAAAGGAAGUACUCUUCAAGACAGAAGAGACAUGGAUAUUGUUUUAGGGCCCAGGAAGGAGACAGGAUUCACCUGAAGAGGCUGGGCCAGAGCAGUGAGCCGGCCAUGUGCUUCCAGGGACUGCAAGCAUUGACAUCACCUGCAGCAGCUGCUUGCCACUUUUUCCUUCUGUUGGGCACCAGGUUUCCACGUGCUGCUGGACCAUAGUUUGAGACUACACACCCCCAUCUGGACCCUAUUAAAAUGCAUCUCUUGACCAGUCACAGGAGGAGCCUGGGAGGGGGAGGAGAAGUCAAGGGAGAGGAGAAGUCAAGACAAGUUGACCUCAAAGGUACCACGGAAAAGUAAUGAUUAACACUGCUGCAGUCUGGGAACAGUUUAUUCAACUGCGGUGACGGAAACAAGGAGAAAGCCCUUCCUCAAACCCCUCGGCAAAAUCUGCUUUCCACUUCUGACUGAUGGUGGGAAGAAGAAAGACGCUGCAUUUGGAAGGACUGUCAGAAUCAAAUAUGUCUGAAAUCUUAAAUGCUUCUCAGUGUCUGUUUUGUGAUUUUUAAAAUUUUGUUUACAAAAGCUUUUCUCUUUCCUCCCCCUCUCUCCUUCUCUCUCCUUCCUCCCUUCCUUCCUUCCUUUCAGUGAAAAGAGGAAAGGAUAACAAAAUAUUGCUCAUUUGGGAAAGGUAACAAUAGAAAGCCAGCAAAAACUGCAUCUGGAUCCACCUUCCAAUGCAGGGGAUGUGGGUUCGAUCCCUGGUUGGGGACCUAAGAUCCCUCAUGCCACGGAGCACCUGAACCAGCACGCUGCAACCACGGAGACUGCAUGCCACAACUAGAGAGUCUGUGCGCAGCAAGGAGUAUCUCAAGGGCUGCAACUGAGAUCUGACACAGCCAAAUAAACAAAUAAAUAAUUAAAAAGAGAGAAGACUCUGCACCUGGGAGUAAGGGGAGAGCUUCCCCUUCCAUGACCGAGUGGAAGCCUAGAAUGUCAAAAUAAGGAGGGGCCUCAGGGAUCGUCCUGACUCAUCUUCUCAAAGAAGAUGGACCCAAAGGUUGAUCUCUCGCACAGGACUCUUCAUCACAGCACUGCCACUUCCUCUGCUCCAGGCUGGAAGCAGGCUGGGCAGAGCUUGUUAGGCAAUGUCAUGAGUUUUGCUGCAGCUCUCUCUGAAGCAGGGGUGACAUGACACGUUUGAACCUCUGAGCUAGAGCAUCCUCUGGAUCAUGCUGAGACUUGGUCAGCUUGGGCGGACAGGGUGGUUGAGAGUUUUGCACUCCAACUAUGUGCUGGGGUCUAAAAGUCCACUGUUUUAUGGAAGAGACUUGGAGACAGUAACUCAGGAGAAGAUCAAACAGAGAAGACUCCAGAUUAGGAGAAAGCCAAAACAAAGCUCAACACCAACACCACCACCAUCAACAGAAGAAAUCUCCUGAGCCAUGCAGGCCCCAGCAGCAAGCCAAGGAAGGCAAACUGGGAUUGGGGGGCCAGAGGGUAACCCAGGAUGGUGGCUAGAUGGGGUGAGUGGCUUCAGCAGCCAGAGGUCUUCCCUUAGGCCUAGGAGGUGACACAAGCAAUUCUCCCAGGAUCACCUUGAUGAAGCAAUAAAUAAAGGUAACAAGGCGGAAGGUCA